rnacentral:lncRNA from 1 species
UUAAAGGCUUGUACUACCACUGCCCACACCUAACACCUUUUUUAUUUUUAUUUUUAAAGAAUUAUUUAUUUUGUUUAUAUGAGUACACUGUCUCUGUCUUCAGACACACCAGAAGAAGGCAUCGAAUCCCAUUACAGAUGGUUUGUGAGCCACCAUGUGGUUGCUGGGAAUUGAAUAUAGGACCUCUGGAAGAGCAGUCUGUGCUCUUAACCGCUGAGCCAUCUUUCUAGCUCUCCUUUUUAUUUUUUAAAUGCAGGAUAUCCAGAAUGGUCUUGGUUUGAGAUGUUGUACAUAAAUCUAGUUGUCAUUUGAUGCAUUAGUAGCCUAUACACAACAAUGAAAGCAUUGUGUGCAAUACUCUGCCAACAAGAACAGAGAUCCAAACUAUGUCUAUUAGUUAUGUUACUGUAUUGAUCAGAAAAAUCUAGAGAAUAUCUUGAAAAGAGACCCAUGUGAUUUUCAGUUCUAGUAUCUUGUAGAAUAUAUGUCCAUAUAUAACCUUUAAUAGGAAGACCAAUGUUAUGAUGUCCUACACAAAUGGGAUGUGAUUCAAAUUCCAAGGUAAAGUUAAAUCCAGUCCAUUUCCAAGAUGAAUGGAUGAGCCUAUUAUGGUCUCAAGGUCCACUCAUAAACACAGCAUAAUCAAUAAAGUAACUGCUCCUGCAUUGCAUAGGUCCCAACUUGGGCCCAGGUGGACAGACUCUACUUCUGAUGAUAUGGUAUCUGAUAUCUCUCUUUGCCCUUUUACUAGAAGUUCACUAUCUUUUUGGUGACUUCCACUGUCUUCUUGCCUUCAGCCAGUGUCUUUGCUGGCCCAGUGCUGAAGGAGCUGAAGAGAAAUCCAUGUUUUAGUUGCUCCAUCUGUAUUGACGAAUGCACGCCCCUUCCCAAUUUUCUUCUGGAGAAGUAAAAAUUGGGCAGGUUAAUGCAUCAGCAUGAAUAUUUCCUUCUGAAAUAAAACUAGGGUGUUUAGAGUGUGCACAAGUAUGACUCUAUUCCUGGAAAUAAUUGUAUAACCUAUGUUAAGGGGUGUUUAAUUAACCAUAUUAUAUGAAUCAAAACAUCCAGACCCACUUGAUGGGCUGGAGAAUCUCCCUGCAUACUUGAAGAACCAAGGUUGGUAAUCUGUUGAUAAGAAGAAAUAAUAUAGAUGGAAGGACUUAUUCUUCACACACACACACACACACACACACACACACACACACACACACACACGUAAACUUUGUUUAAAUGUUUGUUAUUUGCCAAAGAUUCGGAGACCCACUGGAAGUCACAAGAAAUGUCCUGUCAGUCUAUGAUGCUGAAAUGCAUGUUCUUGAUAAAUAUGAAAACUUGAUUUUUAUGUUAUUAUAAUUCAAUUACUUGAGUUAAGGGAUAUCUAUCAAUUAUUUCUUAAGUCAAAUUUUGUCUCACUGAGGCCACAUUUUCAUUAAGGAUGAAGUAUAGGGGCUGGAAAGAUGGCUCAGUGGUUAAGAGCACUGACUGUCUUUACAGAGGUCCAGAGUUCAAUUCUCAGCAACCACGUGGGGGCUCAUAACCAUCUGUAAUGGGAUCCUCUUCUGGUGUGGCUGGAGACAGCUACAGUGUACCCAUAUACAUAAACUAAAUAAAGAAAGAAGAAAAAAGAGAAAGUAUAUUUGCUUCUGGUACUCCAGUGGCAUGCCAAGCCCUUCCUGUCAGAAUCCUUUUCCUGUAUUCCCUAAGCACUGGCCUUCAAGGUUCUUUUAGUUUGUUUUAUAAUUCUCACAUUUCACUCAGUCCCCCCCCCCAGCAUCUUUAAAAUGUUAAAUUAAGCUUCACCCCCCUCCUUUCAGCCUCCCUUUCAAAAUUUUGAGUGCCUAUUAUGCUAUUCAUAUGCUGAAGAACUUCCAUUCAUUUGAGCUGUGUACUCUAAGCCCUGUAAUUUCAGAAUAAUAAGCAAGGAACAGCGUUGUUUCAGAUGGGCUAUCAGGAAAGGCAUUUCAGAGGUAACAAUCACAGAGUCCUGAAAAGUGAGUCAGAAUCAGCCAUCAAAAUUUUAGAGCAAAGAAGAGAUUUCUAGGCAAAGGGGUCAGGAAAUAUAAUUCCUGCAGUUUUACAGCUGGGCAUACCGCAGGUAAGAACAUGGGGAUUCC